UGCAGUCGAGCGAGCGGAACCACAGAUUUACUUCGGUAAUGACGUUGGGAAAGCGAGCGGCGGAUGGGUGAGUAACACGUGGGGAACCUGCCCCUAAGUCUGGGAUACCAUUUGGAAACAGGUGCUAAUACCGGAUAAUAAAGCAGAUCGCAUGAUCAGCUUUUGAAAGGCGGCGUAAGCUGUCGCUAAGGGAUGGCCCCGCGGUGCAUUAGCUAGUUGGUAAGGUAACGGCUUACCAAGGCGACGAUGCAUAGCCGAGUUGAGAGACUGAUCGGCCACAUUGGGACUGAGACACGGCCCAAACUCCUACGGGAGGCAGCAGUAGGGAAUCUUCCACAAUGGACGCAAGUCUGAUGGAGCAACGCCGCGUGAGUGAAGAAGGUUUUCGGAUCGUAAAGCUCUGUUGUUGGUGAAGAAGGAUAGAGGUAGUAACUGGCCUUUAUUUGACGGUAAUCAACCAGAAAGUCACGGCUAACUACGUGCCAGCAGCCGCGGUAAUACGUAGGUGGCAAGCGUUGUCCGGAUUUAUUGGGCGUAAAGCGAGCGCAGGCGGAAAAAUAAGUCUAAUGUGAAAGCCCUCGGCUUAACCGAGGAACUGCAUCGGAAACUGUUUUUCUUGAGUGCAGAAGAGGAGAGUGGAACUCCAUGUGUAGCGGUGGAAUGCGUAGAUAUAUGGAAGAACACCAGUGGCGAAGGCGGCUCUCUGGUCUGCAACUGACGCUGAGGCUCGAAAGCAUGGGUAGCGAACAGGAUUAGAUACCCUGGUAGUCCAUGCCGUAAACGAUGAGU
rnacentral:rRNA from 1 species